AUGUACUUGGAUAGCAUCGUGGCAAAACAAGUUUGCUACAGGUUCAAUGAUCACGAUCGUUCCAUAUCAUUACCGAAGGAGUUACAGAAAGAGGGUACACUCAUAAUGGCACAGAUGUCAAAUUACUCUAAUUUGGGUUUUAAUCCCAAAGCACAUAACCAGAUAACCGUCGGAGAUGAUGUUAUUAGAAGACAUUACCAGGUGCUCUUAGGGAUUGCUAAUAUGGAUCUGUCUCAGGAAGAAAAUGUUGACAUCAGCUUGAAACAGACCCUUCUCUUCUUUGUUCUGCUAGCCGAAGCACUACGGUUUCCCGAGCUCGAAAAGUGGUUACUGAAUAUCUUGGCAAAGAAGUUGGAAAUGUCAGUCCCGGUUAGUAUAACCAAACUCUUCAACAGUUGGGGAACGCUCUCCAAGAUUCUUCAUAAAGGCAGAGAAAAUUUCAGCAUUGGCAAUAUUACUGUUGAGCUGCUGAAGAGUAACUGUAAAACAUAUGAUGAUGUAUGUUCCAUAUUGGGAAUAGCGAACAAAAUUAACUUGAGAAAAUUGGAGAAAAAGAAGAAGAAGAAGAACAGGCUCUAA
rnacentral:rRNA from 1 species